rnacentral:lncRNA from 1 species
AAUUAUUUAAAUAUUAGGUAUUGAGAGAGAAUAUUGCCAUAAAGGGAAUGAGACACUACUAAUGUGACAACCCAAAAAAGAAAGUGAGACACUACUAAUGGGACGGAGGGAGUACUUUUUAUUUUUAUUUUUUACAAUGUUAUUUUAUUUUAUUUUGUUUGUAUUUUAUUUAUUUACGCAAUAUAUUCGAAAGUAAUUAGUAUUAUUAUUACAAAUAGUAAUUAUUAACAUAAAAAAGUAAUGUUUUUGAAACAUUACAUUUCAAUAGUUACUUUUUCAUACAACAAUGAUUACUUGACCAAAGUAACGUUGUUGUUAUACAUAUUAAUAAUUACUUUUACGUACAAUAAUAAUUAUUUGAUUAAAAAAUUAAAAGUAC